GUUAGCGCUCAGGAUGACAGGGCAUGGCAAAAGAGGAGCACCGAACCACCGAAGGCAUACGAGUGAUCGUGAUUCUACAUGGGAUUUCGCGAUACGCCAGCUAGUUCGGUGUAUUGGAUCAACAACGAAAACUUGAACGGGCUUUGCAGAGCAUAUGUGAAUAAUUCCAUUGCAGUUCGUCGGAUUUAUCACCUGAAGCAUCCCAACGAUGGUUAUGGUUCAUCAGUUAGAUAAAUGCUAAGGUGAAGAUGAAUCGACGCCAAACCUCAGAUU